UUGCACCAAAACUGAAUCUUGUUUCAUCUUGGCAAAAUAAUAAACACAUUUUACUACCCGUUCUUGUCAGAGAGCAUUCUCUCUUUCUUAGCAGUGCAUAGUAAACAAACAUGCAGAUCUCGCAUUCAGCAUGGCUUGUGAAACACUGCCUUUGGGAAUAAACAAAAAAAAAAAAAAAAAAAAAAAAAUCAUUGGAGGUUAUGCAGGUACAUAUAAAUGGAGGUUUACAUGGAGACAAGAAAGACUGCAUCGUCACGAUCUCGGUAAAAUUUGGGUUUAAAUAUGAGCAGAACAUUUUCUUGACAGUUUUCGUGAGAAUCACCCAUUUCUCAUACCACUCUGCGAUCUCUACAAGUAAGCAAAUCAAAUAAUUUCAACUCAAAUCAAUAUUUCAUGUCCAUUUAUUUAUUUACUUGGCAAUUAUUUAGAUGGUAAUUUUUGCUAUAUAAACACCUAACAGAAAUCUGACACAAACCGGAGGUUGCAAUUCAGCUGUUUCUGGACACUCCAUGGUCUCUUUCUUCACACAUAAUAAAGUAAUCUCAACUCAAGUCAAUAUUUCAUGUCCAUUUAAUUACUUAUUUGGUAAGUAGCCAUGUAAUAAGCAGGAUGAUCUACAGUCAGCCUGUUAUUAUUGCCAAAUAAACCCCUUCUAUGUGUGUUCAUAUUAGUGCUUGUGCCCUGUCGCCCGCAAAGCUGGGUGGCCUCCCGGGCUUGUAUGCAAGAUCUAGAGUGGCACAUUACAACGUAAAGACACACCAGUGGCCAUUGAGCCCCUCUUACUACCCACAAGGCCUUGUUUCAGAACAAAUGCUCUGAGUGGAGUUGAGAGCUCCGAGUGGACAAUUAGAAAAUGGCAGCAAGCGAGAAGAAAUUCUCCAUGACAGCUAUGAGCUGCUGUGCAGCAGUAAUAUGCUAAUGAUCUCAGCAGAUCCCAGCACAUACUGACACUUCCAGGUUUGAAAUUCAUAGCCUCAAACAGCUAGAGCAAACUCUCAUACUAUUGCUCCAUGUUUCUGAAGGCCAGUGAUUAGAACCAUUAGUAUUUGAAGCACUCUGAGGAGGAUUUCAGCUCUUAAAAUGAAAAUAUAGCUGAAUUGAGACCAAAAGCCUUGUCAAAUUUAGCAUACAAAUCUCUCCAAAAUGUAAUAUUUUAGCUGUUUAUAGCCUUUAAGGCAUCACAGGUCAUGGAUUAAUAGACAUAUAUGAGUAUAAUGAGCUUUCAUUUGCAGGUUUCCAGGAGCAUUUUGAGCUGGUGUCUCCUGCUUCAGAGGGGUCACAGCAGCGCCUGCCCCAGCCCCCCCUGGAAAAUAAAUUUUUCACUCUCAUAGACAGAUCAAAGGGUGAACACGCAGAUCAAAGAGCACAGACAUACAUCUCCAGUCAUAUCGGUGUUGUUUACAUGAAUGCUAAAGGCACUGAAAUCAAAUAUAUUUUACUGAAAAAUAUGUUUUGUGUCAAAGUAUUUUGAUGCCACUUUUGAAGUUCAGGGUAUAAUUUCAACUUUUCAGAUGAUGUGUCAAGCUUUAAUGUGAUUGGAGAAAUAAUUCCACUAUCCUAGACUCUUUACUCUCACCAUGGAAAGUAGAGAAAAAAACAUCAGUUUCAGUCUUAAGAUGCUUUCCAGAUGCUGCAUUUAACAAGGGUCACUUUUACUGUACAAGUUAGGCAAAACAUUUAAACGAAUCACACAGUUUAAUAUAUUUGUAUACAUGUAUACAAUGGAUAAGUUAAACAGCCUUACCUGGCUGAGACACGCUCCAAGCAUUCAUAUUAAUAAAAGCAUCUGAAGAUGUACAAUCUUUUUAAAUGAUCUUUUGAUUACAUUUUUUUAAUAAUUAUAUUCUCUUUUUUUUCUUCUAAUUUUCAUCUUGUUUGAGAUUAUUACACUUUUGUUGUUCUAGUUUUUCUUAUUCUUUUUAUUUAUUUUUUGUAAUUGUUUUUAUGCUUUUUCUGGAUAUUUACAUUGACCCAUGAAGCUGCUGUAGAGCCGAGGAGGGCGGGGCCGGGCUGGAAUGAGACACACCAGGUCCCCAAUCAGCCUGAUGGGGUGCGCGAGGGAUAAAGGCGGCCGGGGACGACAGUUCGAGAGAGAGAAUUGCAGGCAGCUGUACUGUGUGGUUUUUGGUUAUGUCGCCGAGAAGCAUUCCACUCUGCGUUGGAACAGAUGCACAGUGAUGUGUGGACGCCUGGAGCCGCUCCAAACAGCCGUAUGCGAUCAGCAGGGCAGAAGAGGUGACAGAACACAUCAGGCACGUUGGGGCCCUAGGCAGCUGCCUGUAUUGCCCGUAGGAUGGGCAGGCCCUUGGCCCAGCCAGAGUCUGGACUUGAAUCCAAUUGAAAAUCUCUGGAGAGACCUGAAAAUGGCUGUCCACCGACGGUCCCCAUCCAUCCUGACAGAGCCUGAGAGGAUCUGCAGAGAAGAAUGUCAGAAAAUCCCCAAAUCCAAGUGUGCAAAACUUGUCGCAUCAUACCCAAAAAGACUUGAGGCUGUAAUCACUGCCAAAGGUGCUUCAACUAAGUACUGAGUUAAGGGUCUGAAUACUUAUAUCAAUGUGAUAUUUCAGUUUUUUCUUUUUAAUAAAUUUGCAAAAGUUAUCAAAAAUCUGGUUUUUGCUUUGUCAU